AAAUCAUUCUUCAAAUACACAAGAAUUCAGUAAUUACAUCAAUUCUUAACAAAAUGAAACUGGUUCUCCAUUUCCAUGGAAGAACCUCAAGCUUACAAACAUGGUGGAUGGGAGAAGAAGAAGACCCAAGGAGGAGAAAAGAGAUGCUUCCACAUGCCCCAAGCGGCCUCCAUGAGCUCCUGCAGUGAAGUCGCGCCUCCACACCUUCGUCCUUGAGCUCUGGGAGGGUUUCCCCGCUCCAAAAACUCACUUCUCUGCCUCUGGUUCGCGUUCUUAAAGAGAUGAGUUGUAAGUGAUUUUUCGCUGGGCGAACAGGGUCGGGUCGCUGGGCGACUGGUGCAAGCUCGCUGGGCGAGCAUCAUUUUUCGCUGGGCGCGCGCUAGCUGGGCGAGCAUAUUCCACUCGCUGGGCGAGUCAAACAGUAAAGUCAACGGAUGAAUAGUGCCGGUCAACGCGUGAAUAGUGAUUCUUUAUUUUCUUCUCCAAUCCUUAUUUAUCUGCAAAAUAAACACACAAAAACACUCAAACUGGUACAAAAUCA
rnacentral:sRNA from 1 species